rnacentral:rRNA from 1 species
GAGUAAAGAUUUCGGUCGCUUUGGGAGGAGCUCGCUUACUAUCAGCUUGUUGGUACGGUAAUGGCCUACCAAGGCUAUGACGGUUAGGGGGUGUGAGAGCAUGACCCCCAGCAUUGGCACUGAAACACUGGCCAAACACCUACGGGUGGCUGCAGUCGAGAAUCUUCCACAAUGGGGGAAACCCUGAUGGAGCGAUGCUGCGUGCGGGAUGAAGGCCUUCGGGUCGUAAACCGCUUUUGUAGGGGACGAAAUUUUUGACGGUACCCUUUCGAAUAAGAGGUUGCUAACUCUGUGCCAGCAGCAGCGGUAAUACAGAGACCUCAAGCGUUAUCCGGAUUUACUGGGCGUAAAGCGUCUGUAGGGGGUUUAUUAAGUUCCAAGUAAAAUUUCAAGGCUCAACUUUGAAUUCGCUUGGAAAACUAAUAAACUGGAGUCUAGCAGAGGUGCAUGGAACUUGUGGUGUAGGAGUGAAAUCCGUUGAUAUCACAAGGAACACCAAAGGCGAAGGCAUUGCACUGGGCUAGCACUGACCCUGAGAGACGAAAGCGUGGGGAGCAAAACGGAUUAGAUACCCGUGUAGUCCACGCCCUAAACGAUGAAUGCUAAAUGUUCGGGGAUUCGACCCCCUGGGUGUUACAGCUAACGCGUUAAGCAUUCCGCCUGGGAAGUACGGCCGCAAGGCUAAAACUCAAAGGAAUAGACGGGGAUCCGCACAAGCGGUGGAGCGUCUGGUUUAAUUCGACAGUAAGCGUGGUACCUCACCAGGGUUUGACAUCCCUUGACAGCCUUGGAAACAAGGUUUCCUUCGGGCAAGGUGACAGGUGCUGCAUGGUCGUCGUCAGUUCGUGCCGUGAGGUGUUCCGUUAAGUCGGGAAACGAACGAAUCCCCUAUUGCAUGUUACAAUUUCUCAUGCAAGACUGCCCGGAUAUACUGGGAGGAAGGUGGGGACGACGUCAGAUCUGCAUGGUCCUUAUACCCUGGGCGACACAGGCGCUACAAUGGCAGAGACAAAGGGUUGCAAAACCGCAAGGUGAAGCUAAUCCCAAAAACUUUGUCUAAGUUCGGAUUGAAGGCUGCAAUUCGCCUUCAUGAAGCUGGAAUCGCUAGUAAUCGUGAAUCAGCCACGUCACGGUGAAUAUGUUCCCGGAUCUUGUACUCACCGCCCGUCACACCAAGAGAGUUGGUAGCUCCCGAAG